rnacentral:rRNA from 1 species
UACGAAGGGGGCUAGCGUUGCUCGGAAUCACUGGGCGUAAAGGGUGCGUAGGCGGGUUUUUAAGUCAGGGGUGAAAUCCUGGAGCUCAACUCCAGAACUGCCUUUGAUACUGAAGAUCUUGAGUUCGGGAGAGGUGAGUGGAACUGCGAGUGUAGAGGUGAAAUUCGUAGAUAUCAGGUGGAACACCAGUGGCGAAGGCGGCCUUCUGGACGGUAACUGACGCUGAGACGCGAAAGCGUGGGGAGCAAACAGG